GCGGUAGUGGUGGAAUUUGGUAGACACGCUAGCUUGAGGUGCUAGUGGUCGAAAGGCUAUGCUGGUUCAAGUCCAGUCUACCGCA
rnacentral:tRNA from 2 species